AUACUUGCCUGGCAGGGGAGAUACCGGGAUCACGGAGGUGGUUUUCCUUCGCCAGGCUUGUGCAUCACACUCCAGAUGUGCUGACCCCUACGAUUUCCCCAAAUGUGGGAAACUUGACUGUAUAAUUUGUGGUAGUGGGGAACUGCGUUUACACUCUCCCCAG
ensembl:snRNA U1 U1 spliceosomal RNA